GUGCCAGCAGCCGCGGUAAUACGAGGGGGGCAAGCGUUGUUCGGAAUUAUUGGGCGUAAAGGGCGCGUAGGCGGUGCGGUAAGCCACCUGUGAAACCUCUAGGCUUAACCUAGAGCCUGCAGGCGAAACUGCCGUGCUUGAGGGUGCGAGAGAGGAGGGUGGAAUUCCUGGUGUAGCGGUGAAAUGCGUAGAUAUCAGGAGGAACACCUGUGGCGAAAGCGGCGCACUGGACCACAACUGACGCUGAGGCGCGAAAGCUAGGGGAGCAAACGGGAUUAGAUACCCCAGUAGUCC
rnacentral:rRNA from 1 species